rnacentral:rRNA from 1 species
AUUGAACGCUGGCGGCAGGCCUAACACAUGCAAGUCGAGCGGAUGAAGGGAGCUUGCUCCUGGAUUCAGCGGCGGACGGGUGGGUAAUGCCUAGGAAUCUGCCUGGUAGUGGGGGAUAACGUCCGGAAACGGGCGCUAAUACCGCAUACGUCCUGAGGGAGAAAGUGGGGGAUCUUCGGACCUCACGCUAUCAGAUGAGCCUAGGUCGGAUUAGCUAGUUGGUGGGGUAAAGGCCUACCAAGGCGACGAUCCGUAACUGGUCUGAGAGGAUGAUCAGUCACACUGGAACUGAGACACGGUCCAGACUCCUACGGGAGGCAGCAGUGGGGAAUACUGGACAAUGGGCGAAAGCCUGAUCCAGCCAUGCCGCGUGUGUGAAGAAGGUCUUCGGAUUGUAAAGCACUUUAAGUUGGGAGGAAGGGCAGUAAGUUAAUACCUUGCUGUUUUGACGUUACCAACAGAAUAAGCACCGGCUAACUUCGUG